AGAGGCAUGAAGGACGUAACUUUCCGGCUAGACGAAGAUGGACUUCCCACAUCAAGAUGUACAUUCCAGUCCCUCACAAACUGGGAUGUCCUGGAAAUGUUCGCUACACGCAAACAUACUUAUGCCCUCACACCUGUAAAAAGAUCCAAGCUAAGGAGACUCCUAUGGCGCAGCUCCGUCACGUCGCGCUGUACAAAUAGCAGAGAGCAGUGAAUCCAGCGACGAGGAGACACCUCUG